rnacentral:rRNA from 1 species
AGCAGCCGCGGUAAUUCCAGCUCCAAUAGCGUAUAUUAAAGUUGUUGCAGUUAAAAAGCUCGUAGUUGAAUUUCGGGACCAAUCUGCCGGUCGUGCCUCUGGUACGCACUGGUUUUAUUGGUUUCUCCCUUCUGACGAACCAUGAUGUCAUUAAUUUGGUGUCAUGGGGAAUCAGGACUGUUACUUUGAAAAAAUUAGAGUGUUUAAAGCAGGCUCACGCUUGAAUACAUUAGCAUGGAAUAAUGAAAUAGGACGUUUGACCCUAUUUUGUUGGUUUCUAGGAUCGACGUAAUGAUUAAUAGGGAUAGUUGGGGGCAUUAGUAUUCAAUUGUCAGAGGUGAAAUUCUUGGAUUUAUUGAAGACUAACUACUGCGAAAGCAUUUGCCAAGGAUGUUUUCAUUAAUCAAGAACGAAAGUUAGGGGAUCGAAGACGAUCAGAUACCGUCGUAGUCUUAACCAUAAACUAUGCCGACUAGGGAUCGGAUGAUGUUAAUUUUUUAAUGACUCAUUCGGCGCCUUA